GAGGGUAUAGCUCAGUGCUAGAGUGUGUGCUUACCACACAAGGUCCUGGAUUCAAUCCCCAGUACCGCCA
rnacentral:tRNA from 1 species